AUGGAUAACAGCAACUGCCCCAUAUUGAGUUGGAACGUCAGAGGCUUAAACACCUCGGCUCGUUGCUUUGUAGUUUGUGACGUCGCGAGCAUGCAUAGCCUAGCCAUUCUAUGCCUUUAGGAGACCAAGAUCGAGAGUUGGUCGCCAGCGAUAGCUAGAGAAAUUGGAGGGAGUAGGCUAGAUGAUUGUGCCGUGCUGCCUGCCAUGGGAACGCGAGGAGGAUUUGCCAUCUUCUGGAACUCCGGCACCGUCUCUGUUCAAAAGCACGCGAUAGGCCAGUUUUCCAUCACGGCUAAAGUUAGUCGAAUAGGAUCCCAGGAUUCCUUCUAG
rnacentral:rRNA from 1 species